rnacentral:rRNA from 1 species
UACGUAGGAGACGAGCGUUGUCCGGAGUUACUGGGCGUAAAGGGUGCGCAGGCGGCUGCGCGCGUGUGCGGUGAAAUCUCCCGGCUCAACUGGGAGGGUGCCGUGCAGACGGCGCAGCUUGAGGGUCGGAGAGGGGCGUGGAAUUCCGGGUGGAGCGGUGAAAUGCGUAGAUAUCGUCUGGAACGCCAAAGGUGAAAACAGACUGCUGGGAGUGUGCUGACGCUGAGACACGAAAGCCAGGGGAGCAAACGGG